CCUUACUACGUAGAGGGGUUGUACCUUGCUGCGUAGAGGGGUUGCACUUCAAUACGUCAGGAGUGAUGUGUAACUUGUUUGUAUCUGUGUAUAAGAAUGCAUCCCUGAGUGGAUAUCUUUGUCCAGCCUAGGGGGCAGUGGAAAGUCCCGCCACUGACUGAGCUGAGUCCAUUGUCAGGGAACACAUAAGUACUGGCUAGCCGCACCUUAGCAGCACCUUGGACUUCGUUUGCCAGGGAAAGCUGGAGACUGUGUUUCUCUUCGACAAUAAACCUGGCCGAUGUGCCUUCGUACCUUACUAGAGUCUGUGGUCAUUGGGGGUUCUCUCGGCUCUGCUGUGUCAGCUAUCUGUGCAGAGCUGGGGCAGCACACAGAAGGAACACACGCAGUCGAUUGAUAUCAACAUUGAACAGAGCAGAGCACCACACCGGGAGCAUCUGACGACACUGGUGAUCCCGACCGCUGAUCUGGUUUCCAUGUUUUCAACAGGUUUCCACCUUUGGCUCCCAAACAUAACAAAGCAUCAUGAAAGUAUACCCUCAAAUACCCUCAAAGUAUUUGCAUGUACCUGUAUUUAAAAUUUAUUUUGGUUUAAUUUUAUAGUUGGUUUAAUUUUAUACGCUUUUCUUUUGUUAUGUUAUGUUAAUGGGAAGCAAUGGUUGUGAAAGGUGCCACAAGUACUCCUGUUCUUUUUAAUGGUUGUGAAAGUUUGUGCAUCUAAACAGUUAACAAGAGUGAAGUUGGUAUCUCAAGCAAAUUAACUCUAAAAACCUUGUUAAAAUUAUGUUACUAACUCUUUUGCUGAAACAACGUGUUCGGCAAGGAAAAGCAAUACACCUUCUCAUGGAAGAUUGUGAGCAUUUAUUUUAGCCGUUAAGCAUUACAUUUUGUAUGAAAUAUUAGUAAUGCACCUCAAAUGAAAAAGAAUAUCUAUACAACAAUUGAAAAAGUAUAGCUUGUGUUAUAAAAGGCUCAGUCCCUAUUACCUUGUUCUUAUUACAUUGUAACCAAACUAAGUUAAACUGUGUAUUAAGUUUGGGUUACUGAAAACAAAAACAAAAAACAAAAACUUUACUCUGUUAACUAACAAAAGUUGUUUAAGUUGCAUCCCACAGACUAAAGACACCAGAAGACAUCACGCCACAAAAAUACCAGAUGAUAUCAGUAUACAGUGAAGAAACCCCCAAGCAUCAAGAAAAGAAAAAUGAAGUGCUUUAUAAAUAAAAGACUGGUCAAACACAUCUCUAUCUAUCAUAUAUGGACAAUUAAGUUAACAAUCAGCUAAAAACCACUAGCUGGACCAGAAUAAGCCAUCAUUUAAUUUUAACUUGGUUACUAUGUAAAAACAACUGUAUUAUUGCUGUACUAUUGUUGUACUGUUGUCUUAUUGCUGUAUUGUCUUAUUGCUGUACAACACUUACAAUGUGCAUAACCUUGCUAAACUGUUUAACCAACACACAGGUAAAAAUUAACAAACAAAUGGCAGCAAACAACAUGAAGGCAAGGAAAAAACAAAGUGGUAAACAAACAAAACGUUACAUAGUAACUACAAAUUGGGUAAACAAAUUCCCUGUUAAUACCAGUCAUAAUUUGGGUUACUGACACUGCAUCCUAACUGAGGCACAUGUUAUUCAAAACAAUUUUGUUCAGUGUCUGGGUACCAAUAUUAAAUCCUGACACAGCAAUAUUUGAUAAAUUGGUUACUGUCCAUUCAGCAGGUUAUCUGGAAGACAGCAUCCAUAAUAAACAACUGGAUCUAUGUCAACUACUGGUGUAUCGCAGAGCCGCGCAUCCAGUGGAACAGAGAAGCUAGCCACUUCUGUUUCCUGCCCAGUAAAGUUUACCAGAGGGUGACAACCUGCAGUAAGGGUAACCUAUAACAUGAAUGGACAGUACUGGGUAGUAACUAAUUACAAUAUAUUUAUAUAUAAAGGCCUCAGUGGUAGUGUCACUACUCCAAAUUUCUGUUUUACUUCUUAUAUACAUAGCACUGUGGGACACACUAUCACAAUCCCUAUCCCAAUAUUUCAAAACACUCAGCCUACUACUAAUGAUGAGACAGGUGAUAACUGGAAUUGCCCUAAUAAGAGUGUGUUUCUAUCUGUGUCACCAAAGUAAAAGGGCCAGAGUACAACACUGGACUGGAAAAACAUGGUUAUGCUUGGAUAUAAGAUGGUAUCAUAGGUACACAUACAUACUAUACAUAUAUGCCCAUACACACUCCAAAUAUAUAUGCCAUAUUCAUAUAAUUGAUAUAUAUUAAUUAUUUGGGAGUGCCUCUAAGGCUCAAUCAUAAUACUACAUUCCUCAGUCAUGGUCCCAGGCCCACCAUAAGGAACUAAAAAAUAAUUGGAUAAUAAAAUCUGCCUAUCAGUCGUACGUGGGAAUGUGCAGACUAAAAAGACAGAUGGGGCAUGGGUGUAUGGAUGGUAAAAUGAGGUAACCACAUAACAGCGUUUAGCCCACUAGGUUAUCUUUAGUCCAUGCAUUAUGCUUUUCUGGGAUGAUGGGUAAACAUCCUCCCCGUAAAAAGACAAAAAGUGGGGGAAUGUAGUAAGAGGAGGCCCUGAGAUAUAAACCUUGGUAUCAGAGGCCCGGUAUGAGGCCUAAGGCCUGAACUAAAGUAAUGGUCAAGCCUUUGCUAACAUAAAGCAAAGUUAAGCUGUGAGCCAGAGGCAGGCCCUGCUCACAGAAGCUGGCAAGGAAAGGGCUGAUGCUGCAAAAAGAGACAUACCUAAAAGGUACUGGACACCAGAUAUCAGAACAUUCGCAUACUUGUACAUUCCACACACAACCAGGAACAGGCUGAUCCAUCCCAAUGACAGGGCCAAAAGGGGAAUAUGAUGGAUAGUGUUGUUUUGUUCAAACCAACAUGUACAAGGUGAGAGGCGGCACCUUACUACGUAGAGGGGUUGUACCUUGCUGCGUAGAAGAGUUGCACUUCAAUACAUCAGGAGUGAUGUGUAACUUGUUUGUAUCUGUGUAUAAGAAUGCAUCCCUGAGUGGAUAUCUUUGUCCAGCCUAGGGGGCAGUGGAAAGUCCCGCCACUGACUGAGCUGAGUCCGUUGUCAGGGAGCACAUAAGUACUGGCUAGCCGCACCUUAGCAGCACCUUGGACUUCGUUUGCCAGGGAAAGCUGGAGACUGUGUUUCUCUUCGACAAUAAACCUGGCUGAUGUGCCUUCGUACCUUA